rnacentral:rRNA from 1 species
GAUGAACGCUAGCGGCAGGCUUAACACAUGCAAGUCGAGGGGCAGCAUAAUGGAUAGCAAUAUCUAUGGUGGCGACCGGCGCACGGGUGCGUAACGCGUAUGCAACCUACCUUUAACAGGGGGAUAACACUGAGAAAUUGGUACUAAUACCCCAUCAUAUCAUAGAAGGCAUCUUUUAUUGUUGAUAAUUCCGAUGGUUAGAGAUGGGCAUGCGUUGUAUUAGCUAGUUGGUGGGGUAACGGCUCACCAAGGCGACGAUACAUAGGGGGACUGAGAGGUUAACCCCGCACACUGGUACUGAGGCAAGGACCAGACUCCUACGGGAGGCAGCAGUGAGGAAUAUUGGUCAAUGGACGCAAGUCUGAACCAGCCAUGCCGCGUGCAGGAUGACGGCUCUAUGAGUUGUAAACUGCUUUUGUACGAGGGUAAACGCAGAUACGUGUAUCUGUCUGAAAGUAUCGGACGAAUAAGGAUCGGCUAACUCCGUG